AAAAUUUCGAAGAAGUCAGCAAAAAAGUUCAAAAUUUUAUGUUGUUAUAGAUUUAUUUGUUUUGAUGAUAACCGUCAUACUCUUUAGCAGAUUCGAGGCCAGAGUCAGCCGUCAUAACCACUCAAUAUGCAAGUUUGGCUUGUGCUGGGAUUGAGCAGCAUGUCACCAGAAGUCUCAUCGCUUGGAUAAACAGCAUCCCUCUUGAUUGGAGAAACUACCGAUGUCGGCCGAGUUAUGGAUCUCCCUUCUUCACCUUUCUUUAAAUGUCCUCGUGUACGCCCAUGUGAAUAUGGAUGUAUUCACGAGGACACCCUUUUUACCCUAUCCCGUCUGCUGGUGUAAUUCAACUCUUCAGCGGCAGCAACUGUGGAUGCCUGGCUGUAUUUCCCAGGCA